ACCGGGCGUGGUGGUGUACGCCUGUAAUCCCAACUGCUCUGGAGGCUGAGACAGGAGGAUUCUGAGUUCAAAGCCAGCCUCAGCAAUGGAGGUGGGAUACUAAGCAAUGGAGGUGAGGCACUCAGUGAGACCCUAUCUCUA
rnacentral:sRNA from 1 species